UUAAGUCAUGNAUGUCUGCGUAUAAGCAAAUUGUACCGCGAAACUGCGAAUGGCUCAUUAUAUAAGUUAUCGUUUAUUUGAUAGCGCCUUCUUACUCGGAUACCUGUGGUAAUUCUAGAGCUAAUACGUGCUGAAAUGCUCGACUUCGGAAGAGCUGUAUUUAUUAGAUUAAAAACCAAUGCCCUUCGGGGCUUUUUGGUGAUUCAUGAUAACUUUUCGAAUCGCAUGGCCUUGCGCCGGCGAUGGUUCAUUCAAAUUUCUUCCCUAUCAACUUUCGAUGCGAGGGUCUUGUCCUCGCAUGGUUGCAACGGGUAACGGAGGGUUAGGGCUCGACCCCGGAGAAGGAGNCUGAGAAACGGNUACUACAUCCAAGGAAGGCAGCAGGCGCGCAAAUUACCCAAUCCCGACACGGGGAGGUAGUGACAAUAAAUACUGAUGCAGAGCCCUUUCGGGUUUUGCAAUCGGAAUGAGUACUAUUUAAAUCCCAUAACGAGUAACAAUUGGAGGGCAAGUCUGGUGCCAGCAGCCGCGGUAAUUCCAGCUCCAAUAGCGUAUAUUAAAGUUGUUGUGGUUAAAAAGCUCGUAGUUGAACCUUGGGCCUGGCUUGUCGGUCCCCCUCACCGGGUGCACCGAUCCAGCCGGGUCUUUCCCUCUGUGGAUCCCCAUGGCCUUUAUUGGCUGUGGCGGGGAAACAGGACUUUUACUUUGAAAAAAUUAGAGUGCUCCAGGCAGGCCUAUGCUCGAAUAUUUCAGCAUGGAAUAAUAAAAUAGGACGCGUGGUUCUAUUUUGUUGGUUUCUAGAACCGCCGUAAUGAUUAAUAGGGACAGGCGGGGGCAUCUGUAUUCAAUUGUCAGAGGUGAAAUUCUUGGAUCUAUUGAAGACAAACUACUGCGAAAGCAUUUGCCAAGGAUGUUUUCAUUGAUAAGGAACGAAAGUUAGGGGAUCGAAGACGAUCAGAUACCGGCGUNGUCUUAACUAUAAACUGUGCCGACUUGGGAUCGGACGAUGUUAUUUUUUGGCUCGUNCGGCACCAUUCGAGAAUCAAAGUGC
rnacentral:rRNA from 1 species